rnacentral:rRNA from 1 species
AGUUUGAUCCUGGCUCAGAAUCAACGCUGGCGGCGUGCCUAACACAUGCAAGUCGAACGCGAAAGCCCCGCAAGGGAUAAGUAGAGUGGCAAACGGGUGAGUAACACGUGGGUGACCUGCCUUCGAGUGGGGGAUAACGUCCCGAAAGGGACGCUAAUACCGCAUAACAUCCUGCUUUUGAACAGGUGGAGAUCAAAGCUGGGGACCCGCAAGGGCCUGGCGCUUGAAGAGGGGCCCGCGUCUGAUUAGCUAGUUGGUGGGGUAACGGCUCACCAAGGCAACGAUCAGUAUCCGGCCUGAGAGGGCGGACGGACACACUGGGACUGAGACACGGCCCAGACUCCUACGGGAGGCAGCAGUGGGGAAUUGUUCGCAAUGGGCGCAAGCCUGACGACGCAACGCCGCGUGGAGGAUGAAGACCUUCGGGUCGUAAACUCCUUUCGAUCGAGACGAACGGCCUCCGGGUGAAUAGUUCGGAGGAAUGACGGUACCGAGAGAAGAAGCCCCGGCUAACUCCGUGCCAGCAGCCGCGGUAAUACGGGGGGGGCAAGCGUUGUUCGGAAUUACUGGGCGUAAAGGGCUCGUAUGUGGCCAACUAAGUCAGACGUGAAAUCCCUCGGCUUAACCCGGGGAACUGCGUGUGAUACUGGAUGGCUUGAGUUUGGGAGAGGGAUGC